rnacentral:rRNA from 1 species
GAUGAACGCUGGCGGCGUGCCUAAUACAUGCAAGUCGAGCGAACAGACGAGGAGCUUGCUCCUCUGACGUUAGCGGCGGACGGGUGAGUAACACGUGGAUAACCUACCUAUAAGACUGGGAUAACUUCGGGAAACCGGAGCUAAUACCGGAUAAUAUAUUGAACCGCAUGGUUCAAUAGUGAAAGACGGUUUUGCUGUCACUUAUAGAUGGAUCCGCGCCGCAUUAGCUAGUUGGUAAGGUAACGGCUUACCAAGGCAACGAUGCGUAGCCGACCUGAGAGGGUGAUCGGCCACACUGGAACUGAGACACGGUCCAGACUCCUACGAGAGGCAGCAGAAGGGAAUCUUCCGCAAUGGGCGAAAGCCUGACGGAGCAACGCCGCGUGAGUGAUGAAGGUCUUCGGAUCGUAAAACUCUGUUAUUAGGGAAGAACAAAUAUGUAAGUAACUAUGCACAUCUUGACGGUACCUAAUCAGAAAGCCACGGCUAACUACGUG